rnacentral:rRNA from 1 species
AGAGUUUGAUCAUGGCUCAGAUUGAACGCUGGCGGCAGGCCUAACACAUGCAAGUCGAGCGGUAGCACAGAGAGCUUGCUCUCGGGUGACGAGCGGCGGACGGGUGAGUAAUGUCUGGGAAACUGCCUGAUGGAGGGGGAUAACUACUGGAAACGGUAGCUAAUACCGCAUAANGUCGCAAGACCAAAGUGGGGGACCUUCGGGCCUCAUGCCAUCAGAUGUGCCCAGAUGGGAUUAGCUAGUAGGUGGGGUAACGGCUCACCUAGGCGACGAUCCCUAGCUGGUCUGAGAGGAUGACCAGCCACACUGGAACUGAGACACGGUCCAGACUCCUACGGGAGGCAGCAGUGGGGAAUAUUGCACAAUGGGCGCAAGCCUGAUGCAGCCAUGCCGCGUGUGUGAAGAAGGCCUUCGGGUUGUAAAGCACUUUCAGCGGGGAGGAAGGCGUUAAGGUUAAUAACCUUGGCGAUUGACGUUACCCGCAGAAGAAGCACCGGCUAACUCCGUGCCAGCAGCCGCGGUAAUACGGAGGGUGCAAGCGUUAAUCGGAAUUACUGGGCGUAAAGCGCACGCAGGCGGUCUGUCAAGUCGGAUGUGAAAUCCCCGGGCUCAACCUGGGAACUGCAUUCGAAACUGGCAGGCUAGAGUCUUGUAGAGGGGGGUAGAAUUCCAGGUGUAGCGGUGAAAUGCGUAGAGAUCUGGAGGAAUACCGGUGGCGAAGGCGGCCCCCUGGACAAAGACUGACGCUCAGGUGCGAAAGCGUGGGGAGCAAACAGGAUUAGAUACCCUGGUAGUCCACGCCGUAAACGAUGUCGAUUUGGAGGUUGUGCCCUUGAGGCGUGGCUUCCGGAGCUAACGCGUUAAAUCGACCGCCUGGGGAGUACGGCCGCAAGGUUAAAACUCAAAUGAAUUGACGGGGGCCCGCACAAGCGGUGGAGCAUGUGGUUUAAUUCGAUGCAACGCGAAGAACCUUACCUGGUCUUGACAUCCACAGAACUUUCCAGAGAUGGAUUGGUGCCUUCGGGAACUGUGAGACAGGUGCUGCAUGGCUGUCGUCAGCUCGUGUUGUGAAAUGUUGGGUUAAGUCCCGCAACGAGCGCAACCCUUAUCCUUUGUUGCCAGCGGUCCGGCCGGGAACUCAAAGGAGACUGCCAGUGAUAAACUGGAGGAAGGUGGGGAUGACGUCAAGUCAUCAUGGCCCUUACGACCAGGGCUACACACGUGCUACAAUGGCAUAUACAAAGAGAAGCGACCUCGCGAGAGCAAGCGGACCUCAUAAAGUAUGUCGUAGUCCGGAUUGGAGUCUGCAACUCGACUCCAUGAAGUCGGAAUCGCUAGUAAUCGUAGAUCAGAAUGCUACGGUGAAUACGUUCCCGGGCCUUGUACACACCGCCCGUCACACCAUGGGAGUGGGUUGCAAAAGAAGUAGGUAGCUUAACCUUCGGGAGGGCGCUUACCACUUUGUGAUUCAUGACUGGGGUGAAGUCGUAACAAGGUAACCGUAGGGGAACCUGCGGUUG